ACGCUACGUAUGCUACUGUCUCUCUUCCUUUCUUUUUUUUUCUCUCUCGCUCUCUCGCUCUCUCUCUCGCUCUCUCUUUCUGUCUGUCUCUUUUGUUACCAAUACCAAUACAUUACACACGAAAUGUGUACGCUAACAUGUUUUGUUAUUACCGUUAGAUUCGACUUUUUUCUUCGUUUCACGUAUCGGUCGUUCAUCGAUACACACAUAAGGGGACUUUUCUCCUCGUAUUCUAUGUAGGCAAAGGAAAGUAGGAGUCAUGCCGAUAUCGAGAAAAAUCAACGAUCGUUAUGUUUAAUUCAUUAAUUUUAACGAUUAUUAUCUCUUCUCGGAUCGAUUAAAAAAUUAAUACGAAACGUCGUCUCAUAUAUCUAUACGAUAGAUGAUCUAUUCGAUUAAAUCGAUUGUGUCGAUUAAUAUACCUUUUUAUUCUUCAUCAUGAUACAUAGAUACUUGAUUGGUCACUUCCGGAACUGAUUACUCAACGAACCAAUCCUUUACUUCAAUUUUAAAUUUACAAUUUUCCAACGGUUAAAAACUUUCCUAGAGUUUAUAUAUUUAUCCUAUCGAUCUAAAUAAUAAGUAUAAUUAUUAGAAAUAAGAAAAUUAUAUAACAUUAUUUCAAUAAUCCAAUAUUUAUUUUAAAUGAAUUAAUAGAAAAAAAAAAAAAAAGAAAAACAAAGAAAAAUUAUGCAGAAAAUAAUAUUAAAAUUUGUCCAUGGAGCGAAUCUAUCUUAGGAGAUGAAGUUGGUGCUGCCAGCUAUCGAAGGCAAACGCAAGGCGAGUUCCUGCCUACCUACGUGGCUGCAUAUGCUAAUGUUCCCGCGUCCUCUUCACCGUAUCAGAAGCAGUUCACGGACCAGAUGUGCAGCAUGAUGCAACAGUUGUAACUUCUGCUUCAGAAAAGCAACGCGAUAUUGUAUGCUUUUCGUCGACCGUCUAUGUAUCUUGACGAUUACGAUAUCCGUCUUCCUCUACUCUGCAAGGACGAUUUCAAAUAUGGACUUGCUUAAUAAAUAUAUAAUUUAAAGGGGUUGGAAUAAAAAAAAAAAAAAAAAAAAAAGAAAAAAAAAAGGAAAAGAAAAGAAAAACCAACGUAAAAUAUUUAUAAACUUUAAAAAUCAAAAGGAUCUUUCGUAAUGAAACAGUUUACAUUAUGGUUUUGCGAUAGACGACUUAUCGUUGUACGCUUUUUGAUCUUUCUAUUUUAUAAGGUGACGGCACCGUCAUCGUAACUUCGAUGCUGUCUACAUACAUAAUUGCAAAAAAACAAGCUUACGAAGUAAUGCGAUCUAUAACGUAUGUAGGAAUAUAUCUUAAUUAAGAAAGUAUAAUUCUAUUAAAAGAUACAUAUAUUAAUCAUAUUUCAUCAAUACAUGAUUUUCAAAGAUUCAAAAAUCAUUAUAUACAUACUAAAAUAUAAUUAUUUUAGAAAUGAUAAUUAUCUUUAAACUAUGCUGCCUCUUUUCGUUCAUGAUGAACAGUAAAAUACAUAUGCACCUCUAAAGUAACCCUGUCAUUUGAUACUCCGAACUCUAUGCAAAUCUAUAUCCUCGGUAUCUAUUUAUAAACGCACUAAAGAACGAUAUAUCAAAGUCGAUGGACGAACCACAGCUCAACAACGUCCUACGCUCCCCUACUGUGAAAACUGCUCACACUAGCUCUCUCUUUCCUUCUCUCUCUCUCUCUCUCUCUCUCUUUCUAUAUAUCUCUAUCUCUAUCUCUCGUUUGUUCGCUCGCUUGCUCGCGUGUUUCUAUAUUCUACGUCCUUAGACACAAUUAUCUUAAUUAGAGUCCGUCUAUGGCCAAUGACAAUGAGACGGUUGUGACGUACCAAUUCUACCGAAAAAUUGCUCUUUCCUCAAAUGUAAUUACAUAUGUCCAUAGAUUUUUGUCUAUCUAGAUGAGUUUUUAAAUUUAUUACAUAGUCCUUUCAACGUAAGGGACAUUGAUCAUUUCAUCACCUACGAGUGUUAAUUGUUAUCGUGCAUUAGAAAAAGCGACGGUAAAACUAUUGACAUGGAUAAUUUUCAACUGUUAUUUUUCUCAGAAUUUAUGUGGUAAUCAUUAACUAUGAUUCUCGUGAAAGCGUUGAUUGAUUUCUAACAUGAUAUCACUUCGUUGCUCGUUCUCUUUAUGAGUAUGCUUCUCAUUGAUUAUCUACGUGUUUAGAGAUCACUCGAAGGAAGCAUUACAAUGAUGAGUUUUCAUUGUAAGUAUGUAUUUAUAAGAGUCACAUGUAAUAAUAACAUCCUGUUGUCAACAUAAUUUUUUUUUUCUAUCAUGUAUAAAUAUUACUAUAAAUAUCAAAAACACGUAAAUAAAUGAAAUCGAAAGUUAUCUAAAAUUUUACAAGCUAUGUAAGUUGUAUAUUAUAAAUCAUCACUCGAAUCAUGAUCAUAAGAUGUUCCAUAGCGUUGGAGAACACGCGUGCGCACUGAUCUUUGGAAUGUACUUGUUAGACCCGGUCAAACCGGUUCGUUGGACGUUACACGUUGAGAACCUCUGCGGGUCAAUCGUGUCAAUUGUGACGAAUGUAUGUCGAGUCUGCGGAUGGUUCUUCUCUUUGGGUGCUUUAGAAAUAAUCUACGAUCACAUAUUCAAUAAUAUAUCAUAUAUAUAUAUAUAUAUAUAUAUAUAUGUGUGCGUAUAAAUAAUGCAUAUUUUUUAAUUAACACAUUAUAAUUUACUUGACUCGACCUUGAGAAUAUUGCAUUAAGUAACAAAAUAUAAUUGCAAAGGAAACUCAUUACAUAGACGACUUCCUAUAAGAUUUGCAUAAUGUUUAUAGAUUUAUGGAAAUCGUAUGUGUGUAUGUCUCUUUGUAUGUAUGUAUAAUACAUGUGAUAAUGAAGUGACAUUACUGUCCGAAUCGCUGACGGAGAUACACACAAAGAAGAGCAAUACAUCUGGCGUCCUACUUACAAUAUGGAAUAAUUAAAGUAGUAGUAAAGUUUACGAGACAUACCUAAACAACUUCUAUCUCUCAUUGUCAAUAUGUCAACAGAAAAUAGAAAUCGUUGAUGAAUUAAUGAUUUAUAGCUCGUAAAAAUAUGAACAUUGAACAUUGAACGAAAAAAAAUGAAAAUCACAAAGUAUAUAAUUAUAAAAGUUUAGUAGUAAAAAAAAAAAAAAAAGCGAAUUUUGUUUCGAGUUGAUCGACUCCAUUGGUUUAACGUUCCUCUCUUGUACAAGUGGAAUCUCGCGAAAGCGUAUAGUAUAGUUUCGAAGAUAAAUUUUCAAACCGGUUUCACUCUAUAAGCACGGGCCAAACUCGUUGAAGAAGAAGAAGGAAUUUGAAAUCAUGCGACAAACACAUAGUAGGAAAUACGUAUAUAAACAUCUAUAUAAAUAUAUGAAUAUAUACGUAUGUGUAUUUGAAGAUCAAACGAUCCUUCUUCUCUUACUUUUUUUUUUUUUUUCUACCACGAUCAUUCUCGAUCAUCGACGAACGAAGCCAUUUUUUUAUUCGCAGAAGAACCACAAGAUACACAUCCUGAUGUCUCGCUCAGAUAUAUUCUACCAAUCGAUGUUCACCAAGUCUCCUCACGAACUUUAUUCACGGACAAGUAGAAUCCAUAUAUAUAUAUAUACACCUUCAAUAUUUCAUCAAGAAAUAGCUAUUAUUUUGAGACUUUCUAUUCUUAAAAGCAUUCGAAAGAAUAAUUCAUCAAGGAGACAUUGUUCUUUUCGUAAUAUCAAAAACUCCAUUAAAAACAUCCAGACGAGCAAUUUCUGUUGUUUCGAAUAGGGCGCUACGUAUGAACAUUGGUAUGCAUAGUGAGUACAUAUACGAGCUGUUAGAAUCACAAAGGAAGCUGGAUUGGAACAAAGAAAGAAAGGAGAACCGAUCAGAGACAGAAGGAUCGUUCAGAAAGCCAUCUUACACGAGCUUGGACAAAUCAAGAAUAAUAAGUUUACAAGUUCGUCGACUUGCCUUUUGUUGAACACGAACGUUUUUCCUCUUUCUUUUUUUUUUUUCUUUUUCUUUUCUUUUCUUCACUUUUUUUCUUCUUUUUUCAUGCAAAUUACUUCGAAGGAAUUCCAAUGGAAUUUUAGAAGAACGCAUUCGAUUUGGAAAGAAAAAAAAUGAGGGAGAGAGAGAGAGAGAAAGAGGAGAGAGAGUAAGAGAGAGAGAGAGAGAGAGAGAGAGAUACGAUUUUCGAAAGUUAGUCUGAUGAGAGCUGAGAGCAAUGUCAACCGCCCACGCAGAAAAGACUAAGGGCUCUAAAGGAGGAGACUAACUCAAACGAGAAAGCAUCCAGCUGCUCUCCAGACUUCUCUAGCAUCUCUACGAGAGUUCUGCUUUUAUAGCCUCAACUAAAGCCGGUCUUUGUUCGAGGGACCACCGAGAUACGGCCCACGCGGGCCUUUCAUAUGAAUAAUACCUGAACUCGUGAGACCCAACCAUGUCGAGUCAAGGGGCUGAGUUACAGUUAUAUACGUGUCCUAUGUACAUACAUAUAUUUAAGUAUAUAACGCAACCCAGAGAGACUCGUAGACUCUCGGAAAUAUUCUCUCGAUAAUAUUGAAAUUUUUCCCCUACAAUUCCAAUUUACUCUCUCGAUAAAUCACAAUUUUAAUUAAGUGUUCGUUCCCACCGAUACUUCAUUCGUUAUCAAGGAUAAUUAAUCGUUGUUGAUUCGUCGAUAGAUUUAUCGUAGCUUUCUAUAUGAUCGCUGUCAAUCAGAGGAACUUUAUCCUUUCUGUUAUUCGUGACUAAUAACGCUAAAAGACGGAAGAAUUGAAAUUGAUUUCCAAGUGAAAUUCCAUACUUUCUACGUAUAGAUUAGAUAUAAUUAGCUUUACUGACCCUUAGAUAUCUCUUAUUACGUGACUGGAAAAGGAUUUCAUUCUUUUUAGAAGAUCUUCGAAGAAUGAUUCCACUGUCUGAUUCACAGUUUCUUUUCUGAAUGCAUACACAGAUACAUACGCGCAUAUAAAUUUUUUGUAACGUUUAUUUUCAAGCGUAAUUUAAUUAUUGCUAAUUAAAAAUUAUCCUCAUUUAUUACGAAAAUAUUUAUUUAGAAUUUAUCAUAGAUAAUCGUAUUUUAAUUUAUCGUAGUAUUAGAACGUACAUAAGUGACGUAUUUAACGUACGUCAAUUACUUUCGAAUUUAUAGGUCACCAUGUAUAAUGUCUAUAUCAACGAUCUUAACGAUUUAACGAUCUUAACUAUAGAGAGACUCGCUUAAGGAGUCAACGCAACGUAUACUUACCUGCUACGCAUAUGCGUACGUUCUUGUAUUUUAAAUGUCGUCAAGUUAACGCACGUACAAAAAGAAUGUCUUUGACUGUGUAAGAGCAUUGACACGCAAAUAGCGAUUUAAGCUUUCUUCUUGACACUGUCACGCGAUACAACGUUUUAAUCUGGCCACGUUCGUGAACAUGGAAAACAAACUUACGUGUUUCGAGUAAUAGUUUGAAAUGGAACGAAUACUUAAAAAAAGAACAAAGGUUCUCAAAUUACUUUACAAACAUCAACUGAUAUUAUAUAUUUGUAUAUAUUUUUUUUCUUUUCUUUAUACAUAACACUGCAAUAUCUUCGCUGAGAUCGUUUUAGAAGGUAUCAGAGAGAACAAAAAAUGGAUUAUAAAAAUAAAAAAAAUACUUCGUCGUAAAAUACGCCUAAGAAGAUUUUAACGAAGUAAGACCGUAUGAAUGGGGGCUUAAGGCAGCUGGAAGAAGAUUGGAGAUCAUGAUCGAGUCACAACAAAUAAGCUCGUUAAUCUAGUCUUCCCUCGUGAAAUAAACUGAGCAAGGAGAGGAUUUUUUUUUUUUUCAUUUAGCGUUAUGGACUCGUUGAAAGUCUAAUUUCAAGGACAACUCUGCUAAUCAUCGAAGCGAACGUUCUUUUUCAUUUGUUUUUUUUUAGUUCUUUUUCUUUUUCUUUUUCUUUUUCUAUUUCACGAGCUAGCUACGAAGAAAAGAUUAAAAGAAGGCAGCUCAAAGCCGACUCGUUCUCAUAAAAAUCGGUCCAUCGUUUCUUUCGUUGGUACAUAAGUACAAUGGAAGUGAUAAAUAGAAAAGGGCUCAUUUCGAGAGUCGAAAGAGGGAACUCGAAGGACCAUAGAUGGCUGUUAGAAAAGGGUUCGGCUCUUUUGUUUUCUUCCCAUUCGAUUCGCAUUCUUAAGUUCCGUUUUUCGCUGCGUCAACCCCUCUCAACAGGCAAGCCAUUGUGUUAAGAACACCACUUUCAGAACUGGCACUAAAUGAACACGUUUCUUCGUAACAUGCACAUCCCGUUUAAUAUUUUUCCCAUGUUUUUCUUUUUUUUCUUCUUCUUUCUUUCAUUUUUUAUUUAUCCCACAAAAAAAAAAAAGAA